GCAGUGGCUCAGUUGGUAGAGUACUCGUCUUACAAACAUGAGGUCUUGAGUUUGAUCCUCAGAACCUGUG
rnacentral:tRNA from 1 species